AAAUUUUUAGUUUAAAAAAAACAUUAAAUUGCAAAUUUAAAAUUAUACUCCAAUAUAUAAAAUUUU
rnacentral:tRNA from 1 species